rnacentral:rRNA from 1 species
GAUGAACGCUGGCGGCGUGCCUAAUACAUGCAAGUCGAGCGAACAGACGAGGAGCUUGCUCCUCUGACGUUAGCGGCGGACGGGUGAGUAACACGUGGAUAACCUACCUAUAAGACUGGGAUAACUUCGGGAAACCGGAGCUAAUACCGGAUAAUAUAUUGAACCGCAUGGUUCAAUAGUGAAAGACGGUUUGCUGUCACUUAUAGAUGGAUCCGCGCCACAUUAGCUAGUUGGUAAGGUAACGGCUUACCAAGGCAACGAUGCGUAGCCGACCUGAGAGGGUGAUCGGCCACACUGGAACUGAGACACGGUCCAGACUCCUACGGGAGGCAGCAGUAGGGAAUCUUCCGCAAUGGGCGAAAGCCUGACGGAGCAACGCCGCGUGAGUGAUGAAGGUCUUCGGAUCGUAAAACUCUGUUAUUAGGGAAGAACAAAUGUGUAAGUAACUAUGCACGUCUUGACGGUACCUAAUCAGAAAGCCACGGCUAACUACGUG